rnacentral:rRNA from 1 species
AUGAACGCUAGCUACAGGCUUAACACAUGCAAGUCGAGGGGCAGCAUGGUCUUAGCUUGCUAAGGCCGAUGGCGACCGGCGCACGGGUGAGUAACACGUAUCCAACCUGCCGUCUACUCUUGGACAGCCUUCUGAAAGGAAGAUUAAUACAAGAUGGCAUCAUGAGUCCGCAUGUUCACAUGAUUAAAGGUAUUCCGGUAGACGAUGGGGAUGCGUUCCAUUAGAUAGUAGGCGGGGUAACGGCCCACCUAGUCUUCGAUGGAUAGGGGUUCUGAGAGGAAGGUCCCCCACAUUGGAACUGAGACACGGUCCAAACUCCUACGGGAGGCAGCAGUGAGGAAUAUUGGUCAAUGGGCGAGAGCCUGAACCAGCCAAGUAGCGUGAAGGAUGACUGCCCUAUGGGUUGUAAACUUCUUUUAUAAAGGAAUAAAGUCGGGUAUGGAUACCCGUUUGCAUGUACUUUAUGAAUAAGGAUCGGCUAACUCCGUGCCAGCAGCCGCGGUAAUACGGAGGAUCCGAGCGUUAUCCGGAUUUAUUGGGUUUAAAGGGAGCGUAGAUGGAUGUUUAAGUCAGUUGUGAAAGUUUGCGGCUCAACCGUAAAAUUGCAGUUGAUACUGGAUAUCUUGAGUGCAGUUGAGGCAGGCGGAAUUCGUGGUGUAGCGGUGAAAUGCUUAGAUAUCACGAAGAACUCCGAUUGCGAAGGCAGCCUGCUAAGCUGCAACUGACAUUGAGGCUCGAAAGUGUGGGUAUCAAACAGGAUUAGAUACCCUGGUAGUCCACACGGUAAACGAUGAAUACUCGCUGUUUGCGAUAUACAGCAAGUGGCCAAGCGAAAGCGUUAAGUAUUCCACCUGGGGAGUACGCCGGCAACGGUGAAACUCAAAGGAAUUGACGGGGGCCCGCACAAGCAGUGGAGUAUGUGGUUUAAUUCGAAGCAACGCGAAGAACCUUACCAGGUCUUGACAUCGUAUGCAUAGCUCAGAGAUGAGUGAAAUCUCUUCGGAGACAUAUAGACAGGUGGUGCAUGGUUGUCGUCAGCUCGUGUCGUGAGAUGUUGGGUUAAGUCCCGCAACGAGCGCAACCCUUGUUGUCAGUUACUAACAGGUUCCGCUGAGGACUCUGACAAGACUGCCAUCGUAAGAUGUGAGGAAGGUGGGGAUGACGUCAAAUCAGCACGGCCCUUACGUCCGGGGCUACACACGUGUUACAAUGGGGGGUACAGAGGGCCGCUACCACGCGAGUGGAUGCCAAUCCCCAAAACCUCUCUCAGUUCGGACUGGAGUCUGCAACCCGACUCCACGAAGCUGGAUUCGCUAGUAAUCGCGCAUCAGCCACGGCGCGGUGAAUACGUUCCCGGGCCUUGUACACACCGCCCGUCAAGCCAUGGGAGCCGGGGGUACCUGAAGUGCGUAACCGCGAGGAGCGCCCUAGGGUAAAACUGGUGACUGGGGCU